GUGCCAGCCGCCGCGGUAAUACGGGGGGAGCAAGCGUUGUUCGGAUUUACUGGGCGUAAAGGGCGCGUAGGCGGCCACCGCAAGUCGACUGUGAAAUCUCCGGGCUUAACCCGGAAAGGUCAGCCGAUACUGCGGGGCUAGAGUGCAGAAGGGGCAACUGGAAUUCUCGGUGUAGCGGUGAAAUGCGUAGAUAUCGAGAGGAACACCUGCGGCGAAGGCGGGUUGCUGGGCUGACACUGACGCUGAGGCGCGAAAGCUAGGGGAGCGAACGGGAUUAGAUACCCUCGUAGUCC
rnacentral:rRNA from 1 species